UACGUAGGGUGCGAGCGUUGCCCGGAUUUAUUGGGCGUAAAGGGCGCGUAGGCGGCCACGCACGUCCGUUGUGAAAUCGCCCGGCUCAACUGGGCGGGGUCGGCGGAUACGGCGUGGCUGGAGCAAGCUAGGGGGCAAUGGAAUUCCCGGUGUAGUGGUGGAAUGCGUAGAUAUCGGGAGGAACACCAGUGGCGAAGGCGGUUGCCUGGAGCUUUGCUGACGCUGAGGCGCGAAAGCGUGGGGAGCGAUCCAG
rnacentral:rRNA from 1 species